GAUCAAUUUCGACUAGGAUUAGAAUACAUUAUUUUUAGAAUAUUUAGUUUCAUGACUGAAAAAUAAUUCUAGAGAAUCUAGAAUUACUAUUUAAGCCACGAAAGAAAAAAAAAAUACUUCAAAAGCUCCGAAAAUUCGGGGAAAAUUCUCAAAGCUAUUAUGGAAUAUGAGGAACCCAAAUAAAUUAUUUGAAGCUCAUGAUAGGAUAAUUUGGAGCAUCUAAAAAUUAGAUUAUGCCCACAGUCAAAUGGGAACAAGUUCCAGAAAAGUGCUGAAAUAAUUCCUGGUAAGUUUUUAGAGAUUGAUUGAUGGACAAGGAACUGGAAGGAGUGAUUUGGGUGACAAAGAAAGAUUUCUAAGAAGGUCCAAAUGAAAGCCUAAGCUGAGAAACAAGAAAUUUGAUUACAGAAGAAUAUGAAAGACAUGUCGGAUAAGGAAGAUCGACCUACUAAACGCAUUUUAAAGACUUUGCUCACUCUCCAUAUACAAAGAAGCAACAAACAAACAUAACAUAAAACAUAUGUACCAGCAUGUUUGCACAACAAUGUUGCUAUACCCUAUGAUAAAUUUUAAUUUGAUAAAAAAAAAUAUUUUUCCUAUGUUUUCAUGAGCACAAAAAUACAAAAUAAAUUAUUUUAGCUCUAUUUUCAAAGAAACAAUUUUUAGGGUGUUACAAAUCUACCCCCCUUAAAAUGAAUCUCGUCCUCGAGAUUCGAAAGAGACACGGAUUCUCUGAGAGAACACAAAAUAAAGAUCUUGAUAACUCUUUCAACUUCACAACUUGCACUCCAAAGAUAAACACUU
rnacentral:lncRNA from 1 species